AUUAAGUAUGGUAGUUUAAUUUAUUAUGGAAUGUGUAUGGCUGUUGAACACAAAUACAAGCCCAGAAUAUCUGUGAAAUUUCAGAAAAGAAAAAUUCCAAGAUAAGUCUCUUAUCUUCAGGAGUUUUCCCACGGAAUGUUAGCUGCAGAUGAAGUUCUCGUUCGAAAUAAAUUCUACCCAUUGGCAAAGUAAAUCCAACGAAAAAAAUACUUCCACAAUUUUCAGAAGGCAUCCUUCAACGAGUAUGUUGAAAAAAGGAUAACCUUAAAUUAUAAUCCAUGACACAAGAAUUAUGUCAUAUAAACGCGACAUAAAUCUGAAGCGGCGUUUAAAAAAUGCCUCCUGCGCUCAACAGAUGCCACUAAAACAAGAGUUUAAAGAGAUAGAGUGCAACACAGAAAGUGAAACUUAAAUUAUAACCCGAGGGGUUAAUUGCGCGCUUGCAGAAAGGAGUCGACGCGUUACAAUAUCGCAGUUACGAACUAAAUCAAAAGCAUUCAUGGGGAGUCAACGGAAAAAGUAUUUUGAAUCGCACGGAUGGCCCCUUGUUCCACUUUCAAAGACGAACACCCCUGCACAGCUGGUUCAAGGUCAUCAUACGAGUCCUGAACAGGGAAGAACCGUGAUACCCUUUUUAGUUCGGGGAUCGAGAGAAAUGGGGUCCCGCUUGGAGGGAACCUCGCAGAAAUCAAUAACAGUGGGAAAUUCGACGUACUCGCCCUUAUGUGUACGACUUCUAAUCACGUCCGACUGUUGCACAUCGUAUGGCGGAUUUCGAAACCGAAAGUUGAGAAUUAUUUGAUGACUAUUGAAUAUUGGA